AUGAGUGGAUGGAUGGAUGGAUGGAUGAGUGGAUGGAUGGAUGGAUGGAUGAGUGGAUGGAUGGAUGGAUGGAUGAGUGGAUGGAUGGAUGGAUGGAUGAGUGGAUGGAUGGAUGGAUGGAUAGGUGGGUGGGUGAGUGAUGGAUGGAUGGACAGAUAAUCAGAAUGGGGUCCACGCAUACCCCAUUCAAACUAUGAGUGAACUAUGACUCAGCCAUGAAAAGGAGUGAAGCUCUGACACAGGCUACCACAUGGAUGGACCUGGAACACACUGUGCCCAGGGAGAGAAGCCAGACCCAGGAGGACACACACUGUGUGAUUCCAUGGAUAAGAAAUGUCUAGAACAGGCCAAUCCAUGGAGACAGAUUAUAGAUUAGCAGGAGGUAGGGGGCAGAAGAAAUACAGGAUGAUAGAUAAUGGGUAGGGGUGUUCUUUUUGAGAUGAUGAAACUGCUUUGGACUCCACUGAGGUGAUGGUUGCACAGCCUUGGAAAGGUACGAAAUAUCACUGAGUUAUUAAAAAUUUAACACUUAAAAAGAGGAUGGUUUAUUUUCUUUUUGAUACAGCUUUCUUGAGAUACAGUCAUAUGCCAUUACAAUCAGACUCAAAAGUCUACAAUUCAGUUAUUUUUAGUGGGUUCACAGAGCUGUAUGGACCACAUUUGUUUACCCAUCAUCCGUUGAUAAACAUUUGAGUGGCUUCCAUGUGAAAAAAUUAUUUUUAAAAUGGUAAAAUUUGUUCUGUGCCUUCCGCCACCCUGUAUACACAAAUGCUUCUGAAUCCUGAGCGCUUUCUACACCCCAGACUCUGUUGUUAGUAUCUUGUAAGAUAAGCAGUUUCAGCCCACAGUUACUGAUGGAGGCAGGUACUUUUUAGGAUGACUGUUUCCUACAGGGGGAAAUGAAGGUAUUGAGAUGCUGAGGUCCUCACAACCCCCUCCCCCACCCCCACUAGGUAGUAAGUGGUGGAGCCGAGAGGAGAAGCAGGUACCUUGAGUCUUCCCUGCACAAAUCCCAACUCCGUCACAAGCAUUUGCACCUUGGCCGUGACGUGUUGCAUGAAACCCACUUACGACUGUCGUCAUGACCUCAGGAAUGGAGCUGGGUUCCUACAAAGGGCAUCACAUGGGUCCCCAAAGGGCCAGACCAUGAGUGAGCAGAAUAUUCAGAUGGCAGAAUAUUCCAGAAUGAAGGAUGAGGGAUUAGGGUGCGCUAGGGGGAUAUGGUGAGAGCUGGCACAGGAACAUUGGGCGUUCGCCAUGGCAGCUCUUGGUCACUCCUGGUGGAGAAGCUUCCAGACGAUCUCGAGCAACACCUGUUUUCAGUGGGAUGUGUUGAGAGUGAGUCAUCCUGGGUGGAGGAGGGUUUCUGGGAAGCUCUCUGUCACUUGUGCCCUGUCGUCUUAGUCACUCCUCUGGAGCUUCGUGGAAAGGACAGAUGUCCCAGGAUCCUGCACAUCCCCACAUGCUCGUUUCAGGAGCACAGCUCUCCUUAGACCCCAAAUCUGCUCCAAGCGGGUUUGGGGAGAACCAGCGACGAACCUUGCUUUUCCACUGACUCACGUGCAGACCAAGGUCAAGCUGCCCUCCUGCCAUGCCUCCUGGGUUUCCCCAUCUGUCAGCUCUCAGGGUGGCUCUGAGGGUCGGAGAGGGACGUGGACCCAAAAGAUCCUGUUUGCUGCUUCCAAGGUCCCUUUUCCAGAGCUGCUAUCCUUGUGAUCAGAGGAUGUCAUGCCUCCUUGUGAGGAAUUUGGCGGGGAGGUUGGCUGGUUAGACACAUUUCUGCUUCGGACUGAAAAUUGGAUCCAAAGAUAGGGCAAAUAAAUAUUUGCUCUGUAAAACACAUUUCUGGAUGCUGUGAUGUCCACAGACCAUAUGUUUUGAAAAUAGGAAUGUUUUAUACAUGUUUUUAGAGGUAAAUCCGGGUUUCUUAGCCUCACCCUACCAACAUCUGCGGCUGGAGGACUCUGAUGUGGGGUGUCCCGUGCUCUGGCGGGGUUGAUCAGCAUCCCCUGUGGUCUCCACCCACCACAGGCCAGUAGAAUCACUCAUCCAAGUCGUGACCAGAAAUGUCUCCAGACCUUGACAGAUGGUCUCAGGAGGGCAAAACUGCUCACACUUGAGAAGCAUUCAUUACGAGAUAGAGAGAUGGAUGCAUAGGUGAUGGGUAAAGAGAUAAACACAUGGAUAGAUAGAUAGAUGAGAAAUAGAUAAUUGAUAGAUGGAUAGGUAUUUGAUUGAUAGAUGGACAGAUGAUAGAUAAACACAUGGAUAGAUAGAUGAGAGAUAGAUAAUUGAUAGAUGGAUCGAUAUUUGACUAAUAGAUGGAUAGAUGAUUGAUAAAUUAGAUGGGGAGAUAGAUGAGAGAUAGAUAAUUGAUAGAUGGAUAGAUAGAUGAGAGAUGAGAGAUAGGUAUUUAAUGGAUGUAUAGAGAAAUUGAUAAUUGAUAAUGGAUAGAGGCUAGAUAGAUGGAUAGAUCAUAGACAGAUAUAUAGAUAGAGAGACAGACACACAGCUAGAUGGACAGACAGACUGAUAGAUGGAUAGAUGAUAGAUAAUGAGACAGGUACCUAAGGCAUAUAGACAGAGUCUUGUGCUAAGGCAGUUUCUCCAUCGGCUCUGUUGUGAUUUGGGGCGGAUGAAUCUCAGGUUUGGGGGUGUCCUGUGCCUUGUACGAUAUUGAGCACCAUCUCUGCCUCUCUGUCCCCCCCUUCCCCAGCUGCGACCCCCAGAAAUGUCUCAAAACUUGCUGACCCUCCCCCAGGGGCAGGGGGAAGGGAAGCAAAAUGGCCCCAGUGGAGAACCUUUGCAGCACCCCUGCCCCUGGUCUGCAAGAUGACGUGGGCCCAAGGCCUGACUGCCCUCUGAAGCUCUGGGGAGGGGCCCCCAACCCAGCAUCCUGGGAAGCAUUAAGCCUGCAGGUAUCAUAUCACAUUACAAGGGUUUACUUCCAAUCACAGGUGGGUAUGGCUUGAGGCGAUGCAACCUGGACAUGUCUGUCCCACCCAGCACCCCACCUUCCCUUCAGGCCCCCUGCAUCCAUCCCACACCCUGAGCCAGUUACAUGGGAGAUGGCUCUUCCUGCACAGUCCCACCCGUGCCAGGAAUGUCCCCACACCUGGGGUUCUGAGUCAGUGAAUGAGGAUGUGAGCAUCUGAGAAACAGCUUCUACUCUGCUCUUCUGCCCUCUGUGUGGAUUAGCCCCUAUUCAUAGAACAGUGAUUAAAACUUCACAUGUAGAAUGGAUAAGCCCUGAGGUCCUGCUGUGCAGCACAGGGAACUCUGUCCAGUCUCUUGGGAUGGACCAUGAUGGAAGAGAAUAUGAGAAAAAGAAUGUGUAUAUCUUUAUGACGGGGUCACUGUGCUUCAGCAGAAAUUGGCCCUAUGUUACAAAUCAGUAUUUUUACUUUAAUAAUUUUUUUUAAGGUCUAUCACCAUAAAAAAAAAAUUCAGCAUGGAACCCACAUUGGAGAUCAGAGUCUGAAAUUACAGCAUCCGUGCUUUUAUGGUUGGUCCUAGUAGCUUCUGUCCUGUGUCCUGAAAGCAGGGCACACCAUCCAGGGUGUAAACUGAUGAAUUUUUCCCCUUGAGCCUUCCAUGGAGGGGUAUGGCUGUCAGAAGAGGAAGAUGCAUAGCACCAACUAACGCCCUGACCUAUAGACCUUGCAAGUGAGUGUUUUUGAGGAACAUCAAAACUAUGGUGACACCAAGAAGCUUCACCUGUAGCAACACUUCGACAGCUCAGGUCUUAUUAAAGUUGUGCUCUGCACAUUCAGCCCCCUGCCCCCAGCUGCCCCACUCCCAGCCUUCCUUUCUUUGAGUUUGGGAACGGAUUGUGAAAUUUUUUCUGGUGGGUUCACAAUGGUGCACUGUUGAUUUUAAGCUGUAUGGUGACGGUGUCAAGGAUGUGCCUGCACCAUCUGUGGUUUGUGUGUGUGGUUCCAGGAAGCCUUGUGAAGGAAAGCACGUACUAUGGAACCGGCGUGGCUCCCAGGGAGGAAAUUAGGCACUAAUUGAAGAAAGAAGUUGGAAGCAUUGAAUUCUCGGAAAUGCCGUCACACCCUGUAAUUAAUUUUUGAAGGAAAGAAAAUUAAGUGCUUUGCCACUGGCAAGCAUCUCCGUCUGCAUUCGAUUUUGCAUGUUUGGGCUUUGCGACUAAAAUUGCUUCUCAUCAUCCUGUCCAUCAAAAGCACGAAUCCAGCUCCUCCUUGCAGCUCUGGAUGCAUGCUCUGUCUUGCUCAGGAGGGAGACAGGCCAGUGGUAGGAGGACCGGUCAGAGCUUGGUGUGUACCUGUAAGGGUACCUCCUUCUGCAGGUGAAUUGACCAUAGUCCUGGAUCCGCUUGAUACUCAGGCUGUUUUUCUCCCUCGUUAAAAAUUCAAUCUCAAAUUCAAUGAAAAUGGAAAGGUUUUAAAAGCCCUCAAUAAAAUACAGGUUAGGAUCUUUGCUACGCCUUUGGAAAGGGUAGUGGAUUCUAGAAGGCAUACAUACCUUAGGCCAUCACAAUCACCGUUUUUGGCGUUAUUAGCAGUCUUUUAAAAAGUUCUAUUAAGAUGUGUAUGGAGGAGUUCCCACCGUGACUCAGAAAUAAUGAACCCAACUAGUAUCCAUGAGGAUGCCGGUUGGAUCCCUGGCCUCGCUCACUGGGUUAAAGAUCUGCCGUUGUCGUGAACUGUGGUGUAGAUCCCGCACUGCUGUGGCUGUGGUGUAGGCCAGGAGCUGCAGCUCUGACUCGACCCCUAGCCUGGGAACCUCCAUAU
rnacentral:lncRNA from 1 species